AUUGAACGCUGGCGGCAGGCCUAACACAUGCAAGUCGAGCGGAAGCAGCGAGCUUGCUCCUGGAUUCAGCGGUGGACGGGUGGGUAAUGCCUAGGAAUCUGCCUGGUCGCGGGGGAUAAGGUCCGAAAACGGGCGCUAAUACCGCAAACGUCCUGAGGUCGAAAGUGGGUGAUCUCGGGACCUCUCGCCUUCUUGUGAGCGUAGAUCGGAUUAGCUGGUUGGGGGGGUAGAGGCCUACAAAGGCGACGAUGCGAAACUGGUCUGAGAGGAUGACCAGUCAGACGGGAAGUGAGACAGGGCACACACUCCGACGGUGGGAAGCGGUGGGGAAUAUUGGAGGAUGGGCGAAAGCCUGAUCCAGGACUGCCGGGUGAGGGCAGAAGGACUACGGAUGGUAAAGCGCUGUAGGUUGGGAGGAAGGGCAGUAAGUUAAUACCUGACUGUUAUGACGGUACCAACAGAAUAAGCACCGGCUAACUUCGUG
rnacentral:rRNA from 1 species